rnacentral:rRNA from 1 species
AGAGUUUGAUCCUGGCUCAGGACGAACGCUGGCGGCGUGCCUAACACAUGCAAGUCGAACGGAAGUAAGUGCUUCGGUAUUUACUUUAGUGGCGAACGGGUGAGUAACGCGUGAGGAACCUGCCUUUCAGUGGGGGACAACAGUUGGAAACGACUGCUAAUACCGCAUGACGCUUCUUGGGGGCAUCCCUGAGAAGUCAAAGCUUUAUGUGCUGAAAGAUGGCCUCGCGUCUGAUUAGCUAGUUGGUGGGGUAACGGCCCACCAAGGCGACGAUCAGUAGCCGGUCUGAGAGGAUGAACGGCCACAUUGGGACUGAGAUACGGCCCAGACUCCUACGGGAGGCAGCAGUGGGGAAUAUUGGGCAAUGGGGGAAACCCUGACCCAGCAACGCCGCGUGAAGGAAGAAGGCCUUCGGGUUGUAAACUUCUUUUACCAGGGACGAAGGACGUGACGGUACCUGGAGAAAAAGCAACGGCUAACUACGUGCCAGCAGCCGCGGUAAUACGUAGGUUGCAAGCGUUGUCCGGAUUUACUGGGUGUAAAGGGCGUGUAGGCGGAGCUGCAAGUCAGAUGUGAAAUCCCGGGGCUCAACCCCGGAACUGCAUUUGAAACUGUAGCCCUUGAGUAUCGGAGAGGCAAGCGGAAUUCCUAGUGUAGCGGUGAAAUGCGUAGAUAUUAGGAGGAACACCAGUGGCGAAGGCGGCUUGCUGGACGACAACUGACGCUGAGGCGCGAAAGCGUGGGGAGCAAACAGGAUUAGAUACCCUGGUAGUCCACGCUGUAAACGAUGAAUACUAGGUGUGGGGGGACUGACCCCCUCCGUGCCGCAGUUAACACAAUAAGUAUUCCACCUGGGGAGUACGACCGCAAGGUUGAAACUCAAAGGAAUUGACGGGGGCCCGCACAAGCAGUGGAGUAUGUGGUUUAAUUCGACGCAACGCGAAGAACCUUACCAAGUCUUGACAUCCUCUGGCGAUGCUGGAAACAGUCUUUUCCUUCGGGACAGAGAGACAGGUGGUGCAUGGUUGUCGUCAGCUCGUGUCGUGAGAUGUUGGGUUAAGUCCCGCAACGAGCGCAACCCCUAUUGUUAGUUGCUACGCAAGAGCACUCUAGCGAGACUGCCGUUGACAAAACGGAGGAAGGUGGGGACGACGUCAAAUCAUCAUGCCCCUUAUGUCCUGGGCUACACACGUAAUACAAUGGUGGUUAACAGAGGGAAGCAAGACUGCGAAGUGGAGCAAAUCCCUAAAAGCCAUCUCAGUUCGGAUUGCAGGCUGCAACUCGCCUGCAUGAAGCUGGAAUUGCUAGUAAUCGCGGAUCAGCAUGCCGCGGUGAAUACGUUCCCGGGCCUUGUACACACCGCCCGUCACACCAUGAGAGCCGGGGGGACCCGAAGUCGGCAGUCUAACCGCAAGGAGGACGCCGCCGAAGGUAAAACUGGUGAUUGGGGUGAAGUCGUAACAAGGUAGCCGUAUCGGAAGGUGCGGCUG